AUUGAACGCUGGCGGUAUGCUUAACACAUGCAAGUCGAACGAUGAGAAAGAGCUUGCUCUUUCGAUUAGUGGCGGACGGGUGCGUAACGCGUAGGAAUCUACCUAUUAGUGGGGGACAACUUAGGGAAACUUAAGCUAAUACCGCAUACGCCCUACGGGGGAAAGAAGGGGAUCGCAAGACCUUUUGCUAAUAGAUGAGCCUGCGUAGGAUUAGCUAGUUGGUGGGGUAAAAGCUCACCAAGGCGACGAUCCUUAACUGGUUUGAGAGAAUGAUCAGUCAGACUGGAACGGAGACACGGUACAGACUCCUACGGGAGGCAGCAGUGGGGAAUAUUGGACAAUGGGCGAAAGCCUGAUCCAGCAAUACCGCGUGUGUGAAGAAGGCCUUAGGGUUGUAAAGCACUUUCAAUUGGAAGGAAAACCUCGAAGCUAAUACCUUCGAGUUUGACAUUACCUUUAGAAGAAGCACCGGCUAACUCCGUGCCAGCCGCCGCCAGCG
rnacentral:rRNA from 1 species